rnacentral:rRNA from 1 species
GACGAACGCUGGCGGCGUGCCUAAUACAUGCAAGUCGAACGAGAGCAACCGGUGCUUGCACUGGUCAAUCUAGUGGCGAACGGGUGAGUAACACGUGGGUAACCUGCCCAUCAGAGGGGGAUAACAUCCGGAAACGGAUGCUAAAACCGCAUAGGUCUUCGAACCGCAUGGUUUGAAGAGGAAAAGAGGCGCAAGCUUCUGCUGAUGGAUGGACCCGCGGUGCAUUAGCUAGUUGGUGAGGUAACGGCUCACCAAGGCCGUGAUGCAUAGCCGACCUGAGAGGGUGAUCGGCCACAUUGGGACUGAGACACGGCCCAAACUCCUACGGGAGGCAGCAGUAGGGAAUCUUCCGCAAUGGACGCAAGUCUGACGGAGCAACGCCGCGUGAGUGAAGAAGGUUUUCGGAUCGUAAAACUCUGUUGUUUGAGAAGAACAAGUGCUAGAGUAACUGUUAGCGCCUUGACGGUAUCUAACCAGAAAGCCACGGCUAACUACGUG